ensembl:lncRNA
AUGAGGUUGUCACCAGGUGCCCGUCGCAGUGCUACAGCUUUACACGGGCAGAUGCUCCCUGCCCCAGGCCCUGCACCUGGAAGGGACUCAGUGAACACUGCUGUCUCGGUCUCAGCUCCUACUUCGUGUUCCACCAGUGUAGCCCUCCACAACUCGGGUCCGUCUUUGGAAAAGCGGGAGAUGUCCAUUUUUCACAGCAUGGAGUUAGCACAGGGAUUACAGAGACCCUGCAGGCAGGGGCGCCUGGGAGCAUCUGUCAGUGAAGCAUCUGCCUUCAUCCCGGGUCAUGAUCUCAGGGUCCUGGGAUCGAGCCCCAUCUUGGGCUCCCUGCUCCAUGGGGAGCCUGCUUCCCUCUCCCUCUGCCCUCCCCCCCCUUGUGCUCUCUUUCUCUCAGAUAAAUUAAAAUGCUACACGCAAAAAUGCAGCACGGUCCCUCAUGCCAAGGCCACAGUGUCACAUAGUAGAUGCUCAGAAAGUGUCUGUGGGGCAUUGUACGGGCAGCUGAUGCGCCGCCACGCCGAGCGGCAGGCCCGGGUAGAAGGUCUGAGAUUGUAGGUACAUAGUGUCGCCCUGGUGAAUGGAGUCAGCAGAUGUGAGGGCCACAGAUAGCCGUGACUGUCCCCACUCAUGGCAGGCGACUUCGCAGCCACACAGAUGCUACUGUGCACACAGCCCAGCGACCCAGAGGGGGGGCUGUGCAACUGCAGGCCUCACUGUUCCUCAGGGGCCGCAUCUGCGGCCGGAGCCCUGACACCAUAUGUCCGGCCGCCCCAGCACGUGUCGGGUGGCUGCUCGGGGCACAGGCGUCCCUGUGCUGCCAGCGUCACAUCUGUAAGGAAGCCCAGUCGCCUCUCACAGAACUGGGCCAGCUGAACUCUAACCAGAUUCGAGACACAUAACUAGGGAAAGAAAAGCAGCCACGGCAAGUCAGCCCCAAGGAGCUCCUGUCCAGACAGCGGGCACUCGCAGCUUCCCAGCCCUGCUCCCUGGGUUUCAGAGAAAAACAGGCAUCACACCGUCUUCUCUGGGGUGUUCACCUGCUCCAAGGUCAGCGGUCUUUUUCUUUUUAACCUUCCACAAUUUCAAACGUCUCGGAAAGUGCAAACACAGGAAUAGUUGAAAGAAUACACGUGUGUUCUUUACCCAGAUUCAUCAGUUGUGUGGGGUUUUUUAAAAGAUUUUAUUUAUUUAUUCAUGAGAGACACACAGAAAGAGGCAGAGACACAGGCAGAGGGAGAAGCAGGCUCCUUGUGGGGACUCGAUCCCAGGACCUCAGGAUCAUGAUCUGAGCCGAAGGCAGAUGCUCAAGGGUUGAGCCACUCAGGCGUCCCCAGAUUCAUCUAUUGUUAACGUUUAUCCUGUUUGAUCAUGGCCUCCCCCUCAGCCUGCCCUGUUUGUAUCUCUCUGUGUCGCUGUCUCUGUCUCUGUCUCUCUCUCUCUCACACACACGCACACACACACCUACUUUCUGAAACCACCAAGAGUCAGUGAGCACGUCCUGGCCCUCUACCCCUAGUCGCCUUGUUACGCAUGUCCUCAGACCCAGGAUCUGCUC